AGUGAACGCUGGCGGUAGGCCUAACACAUGCAAGUCGAACGGCAGCACAGUAAGAGCUUGCUCUUACGGGUGGCGAGUGGCGGACGGGUGAGGAAUACAUCGGAAUCUACUUUUUCGUGGGGGAUAACGUAGGGAAACUUCGCUAAUACCGCAUACGACCUACGGGUGAAAGCAGGGGAUCUUCGGACCUUGCGCGAUUGAAUGAGCCGAUGUCGGAUUAGCUAGUUGGCGGGGUAAAGGCCCACCAAGGCGACGAUCCGUAGCUGGUCUGAGAGGAUGAUCAGCCACACUGGAACUGAGACACGGUCCAGACUCCUACGGGAGGCAGCAGUGGGGAAUAUUGGACAAUGGGCGCAAGCCUGAUCCAGCCAUACCGCGUGGGUGAAGAAGGCCUUCGGGUUGUAAAGCCCUUUUGUUGGGAAAGAAAAGCAGCAGGUUAAUACCCCGCUGUUCUGACGGUACCCAAAGAAUAAGCACCGGCUAACUUCGUG
rnacentral:rRNA from 1 species